rnacentral:rRNA from 1 species
UACGUAGGGGGCUAGCGUUGUCCGGAAUCAUUGGGCGUAAAGCGCGUGUAGGCGGUCCGGUAAGUCCGCUGUGAAAGUCGGGGGCUCAACCCUCGGAGGCCGACCGAUACUGUCGGGCUAGAGUCCGGAAGAGGCGAGUGGAAUUCCUGGUGUAGCGGUGAAAUGCGCAGAUAUCAGGAGGAACACCAAUGGCGAAGGCAGCUCGCUGGGACGGUACUGACGCUGAGACGCGAAAGCGUGGGGAGGCA